CAGAUAUAGUUCAUUGGUAGAAUGCCAGCUUCCCAAGCUGGAGAGGCGGGUUCGAUUCCCGUUAUCUG
rnacentral:tRNA from 1 species